GGGCGGUCUUGUACCACUUAACUAAGGAAAUUUCACCACCAGUGGAUCGUGAUUCCACCAAGUUGAUAUAAAUUGUUACAACUAUAAAUCUAUAAUCUAUGGAAACUGAAUGAGUUGCACACUGUCACACUGAGUCAAGAUAAUUAUGCUCUCUUUCUUCCCCCAUUCUAAAGCCAGUCAUAGAGAAAUGACAUCAACAGCAGCAAUAAGCACAUUGUUUCCCAGUAUGAUCAUUGAACACGUCUAGAGGCACAUAGACAGACAUUAAU